AUGCUCUCCUCUGCCCCGGAUCUGGACGGGGGGCCUGGCCCAAGGCGCGCGGCGGGCUGGUCACGGCUCCUUCGGUCUCUCGUGCGGCAUGAGGUGUCGGCCGAUGCUGGUUCUGCUGCCCGAUGGCUGAUGUCUCGGGGCUUCAUGCGCAGUUCCGCCCAGAUCUCGCUGUCUCUGGCGGCUCUGCUCGUUUGUGAAGGUCAGGACGAGGUGGCGGUGGCUGUUCAGGAACGAAGUGCUUGGCCGAGGUGGGUUGCAGUGGGUGGUGGUGGUGCUGGAGAUGUACUGGCGGUGGGCUGUGGUGAGGAUUGCCGCUCGGUUGCUGUUGGCUCUGGUGCUCUCUUCCGGUCGUGUCGAGGCAUCCUGGCCCAGGACCACCCAUAUCUUGCGUCCUUGCUGGCUCGGGUCGACCAUGACGAGCAGUGA
rnacentral:rRNA from 1 species